rnacentral:rRNA from 1 species
UACGUAGGUGGCGAGCGUUAUCCGGAUUUAUUGGGUUUAAAGGGUGCGUAGGCGGACUGUUAAGUCAGCGGUAAAAGCCCGGGGCUCAACCCCGGCGAGCCGUUGAAACUGGCUGUCUUGAGAUGUCGAGAGGUAUGCGGAAUGCGCAGUGUAGCGGUGAAAUGCUUAGAUAUUGCGCAGAACUCCGAUUGCGAAGGCAGCAUGCCGGUGCACAACUGACGCUCAGGCACGAAAGCGUGGGUAUCGAACAGG